UACGUAGGGGGCAAGCGUUGUCCGGAAUUAUUGGGCGUAAAGAGCGCGUAGGCGGUCCGAUAAGUCGGCUGUGAAAGUCAGGGGCUCAACCCUUGGAAGCCGGCCGAUACUGUCGGACUAGAGUCCGGAAGAGGCGAGUGGAAUUCCCGGUGUAGCGGUGAAAUGCGCAGAUAUCGGGAGGAACACCAGUGGCGAAGGCGACUUCUUGGCCUGUUCUUGACGCUGAGGCGCGAAAGCUGGGGGAGCAAACGGG
rnacentral:rRNA from 1 species